rnacentral:rRNA from 1 species
UACAGAGGGUGCGAGCGUUGUCCGGAAUCACUGGGCGUAAAGGGCGCGUAGGCGGCUUGAUAAGCGUGCGGUGAAAGCCCGGGGCUCAACUCCGGGUCGGCCGUGCGAACUGUCGAGCUGGAGCACUGUAGAGGCAGGUGGAAUUCCGGGUGUAGCGGUGGAAUGCGUAGAGAUCCGGAAGAACACCGGUGGCGAAGGCGGCUCUCUGGGACGGUACUGAUGCUGAGACGCGAAAGCGUGGGGAGCGAACAGG